rnacentral:misc_RNA from 1 species
GUUUAAGCCGAAAACUGCUCUCCUCUAUCUGUAAGGGACUCCACAGGGGAUGCUACACUAGCCCCACAGGAAGGAAAAAAUAAAGCAGGUAGCAAUCCUAAGAGAGAGGCCAUCCAAGAAGUGAGGCAACAUAACUUUCUAAAGAGAAAACAUAGAUAACUGACAGAUGGUACUUCAUUAAGCAGGAAUGAUCAUUGAUUAGUGAACAAAACAUAAUCUAUUGACCAAUAUUGUUCUCUGUACAUUAGGAUGUAAGCUGGUCACAAACAAGAACUGGAAAGGAUGAGAAACAGAAGAGCUUAGGAGGGCUCAGAGAUACAUGACUAAACAGAGGUCAUAGAAAAAAAAAAUUAAAAAAAGCUCAUUCAACACAGAGAAUAGAACAAGGAUAGAGUGCUUGUUCGUGAAAAACUGAAAGUAUAUUUGUUGAAAAAU